rnacentral:lncRNA from 1 species
GACUUCCAACUGCAAACCCUUACUGGCUGUUGUCCUCUGCCAGGCACUGUGCUGAGCCCCAUGGAGGCACCAGCCUCUUCGAUGGUGGCAUUUUAAGGCCUACAAUGGCAGAGAAACGUCGUGGAGGAGUGAGGGUAUUUCCAGCCAUGGCUGGAAACUGACCCUGAAUCCGAGCGUUCUCUGGUCUGGACAGAGUGCCAGGCCUGUGGCAAAGCAGGUAACCUUUGAAACGGAAUCUGAUCUGCUGUCGGCCACUGCCCAGGCCACAGUCUGCCAAAGGGACAGCUGAACGAAAGGCUCAACUUCCUCCUUCAUCAGCUCCAAGUUCCAGGACAAGAGGCAGAACCAGGUGCCACCGAGCCUGCCACAGGUUUCUGCUUCUUGCCAAGUGUCUAUCUCUUACUCUACCGACCAUCACCAUUGACGUGUGUGAGGGGACAUCUGGAAGCACAGUCCUCUAAGGUGGCAGCUGAGGCUUACUACCCCAGGAAAGGGAUGCCACCAGAGAAGGCAGACAACCAAGAUGGCGACUCUCAAUUUUUGAGCUCCUAAUUUUCUCAUGUCAGACAUAAGAAAAAAAAAUAUUUUUUAAAGAAAAAGCUUUAGGUUGCAAAAAUCUAGGCCUUUCAACUUUAAAAUCCUAUUCUUGCAAGCCUUGGAGAAUAAAGCUUAUGCAUAAACAGUAGAUUUGGAAACAGAAAUAUGCCUAAUUACCCAGAGCCAUUCUUUCAAUACGCCAGUGAUUGUUUAAAGAUUCUAUAGGCUGGAGUCAAUGGCAGGAGGCGGGUGGGAAAAGAGUCAAGAGGGAGGAGAGAAGAAGCAAGAGGGUUGGGUAGAUAUUGUCACAUGACCCUGAGAGGAGGAUUCUGGGUCAAACCCCUAGGGGGUUGUGUGUAAUGGAGACUCCAGAUCCAUUUGGGAAUCUGGCUCCAAAGAAGACUUCACCUUGCCUUCUGAGUGGAGCCCUGAAGUGGCAAGACUCAUAGAAUUCCCCCACGGGUCCACACAAGAGAGAAUGAAUAGAGAAGGCUGCGUGCUGGCUGGACCAAGGCAGCCUCGGGUGACACCACCACCACCACCGCCGCUGCCGCCAUCGCCAUCACCACUGCCGCUGCCAUCACCGCCACCACCACCACCAUCACCACCACCAUCACCACAUUAUGGACAAUAGCCCAAUGUUUCCUGAGUUCCCUAGAGGGUUGAAAGAGAAUAGGACCUAGAGAGAUCACAUAGUUGGGACAGGCACUCAUUAAUUUGAUCCAAUGACAAGAGACCAGAUGGGAAGAAGGAUGCCUUGAGAGAUGUCAGUGUGCACCCAUGGAUAGAAGCAGCUGGUGACUGGGUACUUGGGAAGCCACAUGGACACACACAAAGCUCCUGGAAGACGUUUUCAAGGAGUUGGGCUGUGCUGGGAUCCAGAACUGGCUGAAGAAACCAUGAGCUGACAUAAAAUUUCUGCCACCUAGCAGAAUGGAGGCUCCAUUUGGAAAUUAAAUUAUAUACUUAAAAAAACUAUAAUUGCUUCAUUUCUUUUUUUUGAGAUGGAGUUUCACUCUUGUUGCCCAGGCUGUAGUGCAAUGGCACCAUCUCAGCUCACUGCAAACUCCGCUCCCGGGUUCAAGAGGUGAUCCUGCCUCAGCCUCCCGAGUAGCUAGGAUUACAGGUGUGCGGCCACCAUGCCCCGCUAAUUUUGUAUUUUCAGUAGAGACGGGGUUUUACCAUGUUGGUCAAGCUGGUCUCAAACUCCUG